GCAACGAAGUGAAAAAGCACAUAUAAUAAUACGAUGUUUGCCUGAAAGGCAAACUCGAAGAUAAACAGCGAGGCAGAAUUCCUGCCGAACUGUUUAUCGUAU
rfam:Treponema denticola ATCC 35405, complete genome.